rnacentral:rRNA from 1 species
AUUAGAUACCCCACUAUGCUUAGAAAUUAAUUAAGACCUUUUCCGCCAGAAAAUUACGGACGAAAGCCUAAAACUCAAAAGACUUGACGGUGCACCAAUCUACCUAGAGGAGCCUGUUUCAUAAUCGACACCCCACGAUAAACCUAACCGCCUUUUGAACCUUCAGUCUAUAUACCGCCGUCAACAGCCCACCCAACAAAAGAUCAAAAAUGGGCUAAAUAGUAUUAUACUAAAACAUCAGGUCAAGGUGUAGCUUAUAAGGCGGAGAAAAUGGGCUACAUUAUCUAUACUAGAUAAAACGAAUUUUCACCUGAAAAUAGAAAAGAAGGCGGAUUUAGCAGUAAACUAAACAAGAAAAUUUAGUUUAAUAUUGCUCUGGAGCACGUACACACCGCCCGUCACCCU